CCUACGGGUGGCUGCAGUGAGGAAUAUUGGUCAAUGGACGAGAGUCUGAACCAGCCAAGUAGCGUGAAGGAUGACUGCCCUAUGGGUUGUAAACUUCUUUUAUAAAGGAAUAAAACGAGGCACGUGUGCCUUUUUGCAUGUACUUUAUGAAUAAGGAUCGGCUAACUCCGUGCCAGCAGCCGCGGUAAUACGGAGGAUCCGGGCGUUCUCCGGAAUUAUUGGGUUUAAAGGGAGCGUAGGUGGGUUGUUAAGUCAGUUGUGAAAGGGUGCGGCUCAACCGUAAAAUUGCAAUUGAUACUGGCAGUCUAGAGUACAGUUGAGGUAAGCGGAAUUCGUGGUGUAGCGGUGAAAUGCGUAGAUAUCACGAAGAACCCCGAUUGCGAAGGCAGCUUACUAAACUGUGACUGACAUUGAGGCACGAAAGUGUGGGUAGCAAACAGGAUUAGAUACCCUUGUAGUC
rnacentral:rRNA from 1 species